GUGAAGAGUAGAAGGUUUAGCCAGCCUGUAAAUGGAUUGUCUAAAUUUAAAAAGGAUGAAGAUCAUAGCGCUCCAGAAACAGUUAAGGGCUGGAGGGAGAGAGCGAGGCAGCCCAGCUCUUUCAAGGAGGGAAGGCCACUCACUUGGGCUGCACCUGCUGCCUACGGAGUGCUCCGCUAUUGAAGAGGCCUGCGGCCCGAUCUGCAUAUCAAAUAGCUGGCGUGUAGAUGAGGCCAUUCAUUCUGCCUUCUGUGUGUUUGUCCUGCUGGGGACGGGCUGUUGUUUAGCAGCAGGCCCUGGUUCCCUCAGGCUCCCUGAGUCAGCAGCCCCCCCUCACCCACACUGAAUUCAAAACCAGGAUUGAUCUUCACAGAGAAGUCUCUGGUGCAGUGCAAAAAGCUACAAGAUACGAACCAUGGCACUCCUGUUCAAGCAAAAUUUGAUGGUUUUCCUAAAGACAUGCCAUCUCUUUGCCUCUGCCCUUUGUUCUCCUCUAUUUCCCUUCAAAUGAUGAAGACCCAUUCUGUCUACCUCCAAGCUUUUUUCAUAUCAACCGUCCUAUUUAUACCCUUGAGUCAAUUGGAAUGGAAGAAAGGGUGGAGGUUAUUUUUUUCCACCUGUUCCAGGAACAUGUGUUCGGAGAAUGAAUUUUUCCCCUCAUUAAAUCACUUUGGCAAUUUUCCAGGAAUUCUUAUUUUAAUAUCAACUAAGGAAGUGCAUGGUUUCUAUCUGAAGGGUGGUACUUACUUUGCUGCAUAUGUAUUGGCAUGAAAUUGCCUACAGAGGGAUCACAGCUUGGGGCAAGCUUUGUGGAGGAUGAAGGUGAGUAAGAAUUUCCCUUUGCUAAACUGUAUUUCUUUCUAGUGAAGUUCCCAUCUCAAAAUGUGUCCUGACCAGCUGGGCAAGUCAAGCGAAAACAACCCCUCCUCCCUCGAAUCAAACAAAGCCUUCAACGUUAAUUUCUAGUUCCCAUUCCUCUCCCAGUAACCUUCACUCGGCCCUCUCCUCAUCGAAGGGUUUUAUGUGAAAACAAGAUUUCUUUCUCUGCGCCCAUUUACUCCCAGCAAGAGUCAAGAUGGGAGCUCGCUUCAAAAGGAGACAGGAAGAUUCUGAGAACUGAGAUUCAUGAAAUAAAUGUUUCUCUCCAUUCCAGGCAGGAAUUACACGCAAAUGCCUUUUAUGUUUCAGGGAAUCUAAAGGCAGAGAAAGGUAAUGGUUUCAAGGUGUACUCCCAAAGAUUAUGUGCUGUUAUCAGGCACCGCCGGCAAAUGUUCAUGGUAUUUAGAGAGGGACCACUGGGAGGAAAUGGGGAUUAGAUGCGGUUCUAGAGGUAAUGAACAUGGCAGUGUCUGUAGGUUUUAAGAAGAGCACUGGGGCUGGACAUGUGGCUCAGCUGGUAGAAUAUUCACUGCCCCCUUGUAAGAAACUCAGUUUGAACCCCAGUAAACCCAUAAUCCCAGAACCCAGGAAGUUCGAUCGGGAGAAAAAAAAUUCCAGGGCUAUCAUCCCUGGCUACCUAGACAAGCUUAGGAUUCAUGAGAUCCUGUCUCAAAGUAAAGAUAGUGUGCUUGCUCUGUCUUGCCACAUCCGGU
rnacentral:sRNA from 1 species